GUAGGAGGCAAACGUUAUCCGGAUUUACUGGGCGUAAAGCGCGUGCAGGCUGUUUGGUAAGUUGGGCGUGAAAGCUCCCGGCUCAACUGGGAGAGGUCGUUCAAUACUGUCAGACUAGAGGAUGGUAGAGGGAGGUGGAAUUCCGGGUGUAGUGGUGAAAUGCGCAGAUAUCCGGAGGAACACCAGUGGCGAAAGCGGCCUCCUGGACCAUUCCUGACGCUCAGACGCGAAAGCUAGGGUAGCAAACGGGAUUAGAGACCCCGGUAGUCCUAGCUGUAAACGAUGUGAACUUGGCGUCGGUGGGAUUAAAUCCAUCGGUGUCGAAGCUAACGCGAUAAGUUCACCGCCUGAGGACUACGGCCGCAAGGUUAAAACUCAAAGGAAUUGACGGGGACCCGCACAAGCAGCGGAGCGUGUGGUUUAAUUCGUUGCUACACGAAGAACCUUACCUGGGUUUGACAUAUAGGUUGUAGGGAACUGAAAAGGGACCGACCCUUCGGGGAGCCUAUACAGGUGUUGCAUGGCUGUCGUCAGCUCGUGUCGUGAGAUGUUCGGUUAAGUCCGCUAACGAGCGCAACCCUCGCCGUAUGUUAUACGUGUCAUACGGGACUGCCGGUAAAAAGCCGGAGGAAGGUGGGGAUGAUGUCAAGUCAGCAUGACCCUUAUAUCCAGGGCUACACACACGCUACAAUGGUCUGUACAAUGGGUAGCCAAGCCGCGAGGCGGAGCCAAUCCUGAAAGCAGGCCUCAGUUCAGAUUGCAGUCUGCAACCCGACUGCAUGAAGCCGGAGUUGCUAGUAACCGCAGGUCAGCAAUACUGCGGUGAAUACGUUCCCGGGUCUU
rnacentral:rRNA from 1 species